AGCAGUCGCCGCGGGAAUACGUAGGUGGCAAGCGUUGUCCGGAAUUAUUGGGCGUAAAGGGCUCGCAGGCGGUUUCUUAAGUCUGAUGUGAAAGCCCCCGGCUCAACCGGGGAGGGUCAUUGGAAACUGGGAGACUUGAGUGCAGAAGAGGAGAAUGGAAUUCCACGUGUAGCGGUGAAAUGCGUAGAGAUGUGGAGGAACACCAGUGGCGAAGGCGACUCUCUGGUCUGUAACUGACGCUGAGGAGCGAAAGCGUGGGGAGCGAACAGGAUUAGAUACCCCAGUAGUCCCUGUCUCUUAUAC
rnacentral:rRNA from 1 species